rnacentral:rRNA from 1 species
UUUAAAGUCUAACCUGCCCAAUGAUUGAUUUAAAUGGCCGCGGUAAUUUGACUGUGCAAAGGUAGCAUAAUCAUUAGUUUCUUAAUUGGGAGCUGGUAUGAAGGGUUGGACGAAAAAAACUCUGUCUCAUUGUAAUUUUAGUUAGAAGUUUAUAUUUAAGUAAGAAAGCUUAGAUUUAGUUGAAAGACGAGAAGACCCUAUAGAGUUUAAUAUUUAUUUUUUUAAUAUCUUUAGGUAUAAGUAUUUUAUUAAUUUAAUAAAUAUUUUGUUGGGGUGAUGGAAAAAUUAAUUGAACUUUUUUUUUAGUUAACAUUAAUUUAUGAGUAAAUGAUCCAGUAUUAGUGAUUAUAANAUUAAAUUACCUUAGGGAUAACAGCGUAAUUUUUUUUGAGAGUUNUAAUCGAAAAAANAGUUUGNGNCCUNGANGUNGGAUUAAAAUAAACUAUUGGNGUAGCCGCNGGGUAGUUGGGUCUGUUCGACCUUUAAAAUUUUACAUGAUCUGAGUUUAGACCGGUGUGAGCCAGGUUGGUUUCUAUNUUCAAUAAUAAAAAAUGUNUUAGUACGAAAGGACUUGAUAUUUAUAAUAGUUAUUAUGUUUUGAUUAUUAUUA